UCUUAUCUCUCUUUCGUCUCUGUCUUCUCUUCUCUCUUCUAUCUCUCCCAUCUCUCCCUUUUCUCUAUGUUCUCUCUCUUCUUUGAAGUCUUUGUUCUCUGUCUCGAUCUUGCCCGUCCUCCCCUCCCCUGGGGAUCUCAUCUUCGAUCCAAUCGACUGAUUCGACUAUGGAAAUGCUGGUUAUACGGUUGGCAAUUCGAGGGAAUGCUGCUGCGAGGCCCUUGUUCUCCACUUCGCUUCAGCUCAACAGCAGCAGCUGCUCUUACACUUCCUCGACGGUCGCGGUGCAGGCGGAGAGGACCAUAAGGGAAGGUCCCGGAACAAUUGGGCUUGAGACGAGAUUAAGUCCAUCUACGAUUCCCCUGUUAUCGAUCUCCUCUUCCAUGGCGCACCAUUUCCAUUUUUGGAGAUCGCUUGUUUCAAGGUGUUGGAUUAGAUAGUUGCUGAAAUUUAGUCUCGUGGCUUCAUAGAGGAAAGAGAACAGAGAGAGAAGAGAGAGAUGGGAAAGAUAGAAGAGAGAAGAGACAGAGAAGAUAAAGACGAAAGAGAGAGAAGAGAGACUAGAGAGAAGAGAGGGAAAAUUACUUUUUCUAAAUUUUUAUUUUUAAAAAGAUGUAGAUUUAUUUUUAUUUAUUAUUAUUAUUAUUAUUUAUUUUUAAAUUUAAAACAAUUUUUUUAUUUUAAAACUUGAGCCACAUUAGAUAAACACUGACACGUAAUAAGUCACGUCAGUGUUGAACUAAUGGCAUCAAGUAAGAGAUGACGAAACGUACUGUAUCGAAAUGGUUUUGAAACUUAAUGUACCAACAAGUUACCAAAAAAA